ACUCACAACCUCUCGGUUGGAAGUGGGGGUUGCUUACCAUCAGAGCAACCCUUCUUGUCUUAGUUUUGCUUAACUAACUAAUCCCUCAAUUCAGUUAUAAUGCAUCACUACAGCUACAUUUAUUUCAACACUCCCCUCAAGCCGGGGAUGGAAAAUGUACCAUCCCCAACUUGAACACUAACUCAAUAUAUAGUUGUUUCCCUAAUUUCUUAAGUCAA
rnacentral:lncRNA from 1 species